rnacentral:rRNA from 1 species
AACCUGCCUUUAGGUUCGGAAUAACUCAGAGAAAUUUGAGCUAAUACCGGAUAAUGUCUUCGGACCAAAGAUUUAUCGCCUUUGGAUGGGCCCGCGUUGGAUUAGCUAGUUGGUGGGGUAAAGGGACCUACCAAGGCGACGAUCCAUAGCUGGUCUGAGAGGAUGAUCAGCCACCACUGGGACGUGAGACACGGCCCACGACUCCUACGGGAGGCAGCAGUGGGGAAUAUUGGACAAUGGGCGAAAGCCUGAUCCAGCAAUGCCGCGUGAGUGAUGAAGGCCUUAGGGUUGUAAAGCUCUUUUACUGGGGAUGAUAAUGACAGUACCCAGAGAAUAAGCUCCGGCUAACUCCGUG